rnacentral:rRNA from 1 species
UACGUAGGAGGCAAGCGUUAUCCGGAAUGACUGGGCGUAAAGGGUGCGUAGGUGGUUUGACAAGUUGGUAGCGUAACUCCGGGGCUCAACCUCGGAUCUACUACCAAAACUGUCGGGCUUGAGUGCAGGAGGGGUAAAUGGAAUUCCCAGUGUAGCGGUGGAAUGCGUAGAUAUCACGCAGAACUCCGAUUGCGAAGGCAGCAUACCGGCGCGCAACUGACGCUCAUGCACGAAAGCGUGGGUAUCGAACAGG